UAAUUAUUUACUAAUUUUAACAAAAUCCAUUGUCCUUUCUUGGGUAUUUUUCCAUGUUUUAUAUCACAGCGAAAAAGGAGCAGAUUUAGCUGUACUUCUGAAUGAGAGUUGCACCAGUGGUCCGGUUCUGCCCACCAGCCUGCCAUCACCAACAGCAACUGAAGUCACAAGUGCUACCACCGCCAGGAUCAUCACGAACACCACCGAGACAUCUCCAGAUAACACAACCCCACUUCAGAACACUUCACCUACGUUGGUAACUACAGUGGUUAAUGUAACAGCUACCAAAAGUACAGCUGCCCUGAACACCUCCACUCCAGAUGUUCCAGCAAAAUCUACAGCUUCAUACACGAAAGUUACAGCAACAACAGUGAACGCAACAGUUUCUACCCUCAGUGCGGAAGUGAAAGCUGAAGAGCUGCUGAAACUGAGCGGUAACGUUUCUGCUCUGAGCUCCGCCCAGAUCGACCAGCUUGUGACUCAGCUAGAGGAACUUCUUUUAGGGCCCACUGUCAGCCUGGCUCUGGGGAGCAUGUCUAUCAACAUUGUCAGCAAUUUACUGGACGCACCGGCAAAUACGCUGGCGUCCACUUCAAGCAGGUGAGAUGAACAGCUGGACUGUUGCUUAGGUCAGUGUCUUUACUUUCAUUGUAGUUGUGAAUAGAACGGCCUGGUGAGGUAUAAAU
ensembl:lncRNA